UGAAGAUCCGAGAACAUGGAGCAAAAGGAGGGAAGAUGAGUACCGGUCUAGCCUGAACGGUUCCGGAAGAGGCACCGGAGGAAAGCCGGCCUGCAGGAGGAAGAGGAGGAGGAAGUAUCGCGAGGCCAAGUGCAGGCAAAGAGCUCACACACAGCAACAGCAUUCAGGCAGCUGGUGGUGUACAGAAGUCUCCUGCUCUGGGCCCUGUGUUGCAGACCUUCAAACAGUUUCCUUCCAGAGCUGCGGGUACAGCAAAGCCUUGGAGUUGAAGAGAGUGGACCUUGAGGCUGGGAAGGUGGUUCACAGCGCUGCAGGUGUGAGACCUGCUUCAACACCCAUGAAGCAGCUCCCUCUGCAGGUGGGGAGCGAGGGUUCUAAGCCAGGUCCUUGUGCUUGGCAAUAUGUGUGCUCAACUGGGUGCGCCACCACCCUGCCCCUUUCUCUCUCCCUAUCACCCUUUCCACCUCUCCCAUUUUUCCUAUAAAAUAAAAUAAAUACUAAGAGAGAAAGGAAUGAAUAAAGGAAGUAAGACAAGAAAGAGAGAGAGAGAGAAAGGGAGAAAGAAAGAGAAAGGAAGAAAGGAAGGGACUUUCUCAUGUAAGUACCAAAAAUGACUAUCAGUGGUUAUGUGAGGGGGCGAGGACUACAGACAAAUGCGGGGCAGGACUUCGAACAAGACAGUUUGUGGGCUUUGAACACUGACUUCUCUAUGCGUAAAGUACAAUGUUUGCCAAGUCCUUAACCCAGAUUCAAGCCCGGUCCCCAUCAAUGGAGGUAGGUCAGUGCUGUGGUGUCUUUCCCUCUCUCUGUCUGUCUCUCU